AGUGAACGCUGGCGGUAGGCCUAACACAUGCAGGUCGAACGGCAGCACAGUAAGAGCUUGCUCUUACGGGUGGCGAGUGGCGGACGGGUGAGGAAUACAUCGGAAUCUACUUUUUCGUGGGGGAUAACGUAGGGAAACUUACGCUAAUACCGCAUACGACCUACGGGUGAAAGCAGGGGAUCUUCGGACCUUGCGCGAUUGAAUGAGCCGAUGUCGGAUUAGCUAGUUGGCGGGGUAAAGGCCCACCAAGGCGACGAUCCGUAGCUGGUCUGAGAGGAUGAUCAGCCACACUGGAACUGAGACACGGUCCAGACUCCUACGGGAGGCAGCAGUGGGGAAUAUUGGACAAUGGGCGCAAGCCUGAUCCAGCCAUACCGCGUGGGUGAAGAAGGCCUUUGGGUUGUAAAGCCCUUUUGUUGGGAAAGAAAAGCAGCAGGUUAAUACCCCGCUGUUCUGACGGUACCCAAAGAAUAAGCACCGGCUAACUUCGUG
rnacentral:rRNA from 1 species